GCGACAUACUCUCACCGACUGGUUGUAUCUCUCGCUCGGCGCGAUGCAUGUGGAGUUGGGGUUCUGCUGUCUACGUUGUGGACCACGUUUAGCCCCAACAGUGAGGCUAGUGUACGUUACACUCUCCGUGCGCGAAGGUUCGUCGUCUGUCUACGCGGCUUCACAGCCACAAGUCUUUCGCUGAAGUUUUCUGUCAGCAGCAAUUUAUAUUGCUGCAACAUUUUCCACCGCGAUUCAAACUUGAACAAAUAAAAUUGAUUGGAUUUUUGUUUUCCUCGCAGUGCGGUUGGCAGUGGAAUGCAUGCACUGCACCAUGUAUGCAUCCUCUUCGCUAUCUCCGUAGGAUACAGGCAGUGCAGUGCGUUGUGUUGAGCGGUUAGGGUAGCCGGAGAAGUUACUACCACCCAUAUUGGUGGAAGGAAGAGAGAAAUGUGAUGCUUUUCACCAUAAUUAUCGCAUUUUUCGAAGUGCAAUGCAUCGUUUAGUAACAUCCCGUGCCGUUUGUUGUUGUUGUUGCUGUCAUUUGGUACUGCUUCAUAUGUGUGAGUGAGCUGAGCUGAGAUGCAAAGUGCACUAGAGAGUAGAUAGUGAGUGUGAAGUAGUGGAUUUUUGUUUUGUGAAUAAGGAACCAAACUGGUAAAGGCAAACCGCUAACGCUUCGAUCCGAUCCGAUGUAAGCUAGGACACAGGGUUGAGAUCGCACGUGUGCGCGAACGGGUUUGUUUGGCUGGCAGGUGGCACAUUCAUGCGGAAUUGCUGCUUCUUCGUCGUAGGCGGCUAAUUAAUGCAUGUACAUUUCGGAUUCCAAGAAGCGGAUCCGGACAGCUGAGGCAUUGACGAGUUGGUAGACUUUCGUGAAGAUUCGGCCACCCAAGGCGAUGAGGUGCUACCAAAACGCGACAAGUGCUUUGCAAUCAUUACCAAACCCUUGAUCGAAGGUUGUUUGUCCACUUACUGUACCGGAGGCUGCUGUUGAUGGAAUUUACAGCAUCAAUAGCAGUAAUAUCGAAACCGAUGAAGUCGGUGAUGAGGACGCAGUAGUAUGCACGAUCGGUGUACUUAACCUUAUCUUUAAUUACUGCAUCUUGAGCGUUAGCGUUAGUGGUGGUCCUCUUUCAGCUGGAACGUUUGAAUCGUUGAAACCUUCCCAUUAACAUUGUAGCACCGUCUUUUGCAAUUAGUUCAUACCGAUUGCCUAUCAAUUCGAGUGGGCGAUCCGGUUGACAGUGGUCGCGCUUCGGUGAUUAGCUAGCACUGCGCUUAUGCGCAAAAGCCGGAUCGGUCGUCCAGUCAAAUGUCACAAACCGGAAUUCAAAGUGACUGUCAAGGCUUCUUGCUCCUAAUUAUCGGCGCAGGCAUCGACGGCAGUAGGUAAUUGUACACCGACGCAAGAGCGCGCACGGGGUCUCUCUCUCUCGUGCACAUUCUUGAAAACAAAUACCCCGUUCUAUAUAGCUAAUAGAUGCAUGAUAUUUUCGCGAUGGGGCACCAAUGCUGCCUGCUGGGACCUAGAAUAAGACUGGGCACGUGAGGGUGUGUGAUUACAUCACCCGCAAUUAUCGGCCCGCCGUGCUGUUACCGUCUAUUACUGUGCUGAAAUGAGGGUCGCAAUUUUUGUUGCGCACACACAGAUCCGCCAGGAAACUUAAGGUCGACCAUAGCGAUUCUUUUGUACUUGAAUAUUGUGAAAUAUACAUUCAUCCAAUUAGGUAAGUUAUUGGUAACACAUAAUGUAUUACUGAUUAAUGUAUCCAAUCAAGAUAGCAAAAAACACUAAGACCUAGCGGACAAUGUCAUCGAGUUCAUUGUUUCAAUAAAGAGAUUUUGCUCUAAUUCCUGUCAAAUUCAAGUUGAAAGUAUAACCAAAUCGACAAAGUUUUAUUGAAAACUGAAAUGAUGUUGCCAACACCAUUGCCGAGUUUGCGUAAAAUUUCUCAAUAUUUUUUCUACUUAACUCGACUCAAGGACAGCAUUCAAGGAAACAAGCGCUCAACGAAUCCGAUAAUUUGUUAGAAAGACCGAUUUUCAACUCGGAAUAUAUCAUUUCAUAACAGAUCAACAAUUUAAAAAGGUUGAUUGCAUUAUAAAGCUCACAUCGGCGCCAGCUUUGCGGCCCUUUGCUUGAACUAGUUUGAUCCCCCGCUGUGCAACAUAUAAGUCCGUAAUGACUCACUUGUUCGCCUGUUAAUCCGUGGCGGAAUGCAAAGCCAUUGAGAGCUUUCCGGACCCAAGCCAACCGUCCAAUCGGUAACACACUAGUGGACUACUCGCGCAAUUAUUGUUCUGUCAGCCGUCCUGAUCCUGGGAAGUUAACAAAAAAAAAAAAAAAAAACUUUCGAUCCAUGCCAGAGAAUGUCCUAGACCCACUAGCGGUGCAAAGAUAUGUGGUGUCCUCGAGACAAUUUUUUCUUUUGUCGCGGGUGUUUCUACCGCGUUGCGAGUCCGCCAAAACGUGAGUCGUGAAUGUUGAACAAUAAUAAACCAACGACAUUACACUCAAUUAAGGUCGUUUAUAGCUGCCACGCCAGCUUGCCGACAGCCGGCGUUCCGACCGGGGCAGUACAUACUCGAUUUUAUUUCAAUGUGCUAAGAUGCUUUUCAAAAUAUUCUGUCAGCUGCGGGAAAAUAAACUACUCACUGUCUUGCCAAUUCGAACGAGGUUGAUUCAUGACCGGAGGUUGUAUUACGAUUCCCUGUUUAUUUUCACUGCCAAAAAAAUUUUCUAGACAAUUAUCUACUGAUCCGAAUCAGUGUCAAUCGAUUUUCAACUUCAAUCCACACAAAAAAACUACAGUUCAUUUCACGUAUAUCGAUUGACUAUUGACUAUUUCAAUUGACCGCAAGAGCUGUCCAGUCCAGGUACGCUAAACUAUCAACUCACUGUUGAUCACGAUUACAACAACGGCAGCUGCUGCCGGAGGGUAAAUGGUCAUAUCGUGGAACUCUACAAACUAGAAAAAAAAAUCGAUCGCUGCGACGAAAAAAAAGUGUCAGAUCGGCUCUCCCCGGUCAACCCACCAAGCUGCCAGCCAGCCACCAGCCAGUUGCCAGACAGUCGACAACGACCAAAUCAAGUGUCACACACUGCCCUAGUGACCGAAAAAUUGUCAACAUCGUAAGCAAACUCUGUACCGGUGCAGUGUAGGACGCGGGAGGAGGGCGACGGUACAAAAAAGGUUUUUUUUUUUCGCGCGUGGUUUAAAUGUAGCAUAGUUUUCAUGCAGCUUUGGCGAAUCGAAGCGAAACAAAAACAAAGCUCAAGAAAACAGUGAACCAGUAACCGUUGUUGUUACCCACUCGGGCGGUGAUUGCUGAAAAAUAAGAUGAAGGUGAUAGUUUUUAUUUUUACCUUGUUGUUUUCUCUCUCCUUUCUGUCUCGAGUUUUGGCUCACUGUGACGGCAUUGAUUUAAAAUUGGAAGCAGAGUGGGAUCCAGUA